UUGCAGUUAAAAAGCUCGUAGUUGGAUUUCGGAGUGGGCCAGUUGGUCCGCCGCAAGGUGUGUUACUGACUGGUUUGCUCUUCUUCGCAAAGACUGCGUGUGCUCUUUGUUGAGUGUGCGUAGGAUUUACGACGUUUACUUUGAAAAAAUUAGAGUGUUCAAAGCAGGCUAUUGCUUGAAUACAUGAGCAUGGAAUAAUGGAAUAGGACUUUGGUCCCAUUUUGUUGGUUUCUAGGACCGAAGUAAUGAUUAAGAGGGACAAUUGGGGGCAUCCGUAUUUCGUUGUCAGAGGUGAAAUUCUUGGAUUUACGAAAGACGUACAACUGCGAAAGCACUUGCCAAGAGUGUUUUCAUUAAUCAAGAACGAAAGUUAGAGGAUCGAAGACGAUCAGAUACCGUCCUAGUUCUAACCAUAAACGAUGUCGACUAGGGAUCAGCGGGCGUUAUCGUACGACCCCCGUUGGCACCUUACGGGAAACCAAAGUUUCCUGGAUUCCGGGGGGAAGUAUAGUCGCAA
rnacentral:rRNA from 1 species